GCCGGGCGUGGUGGCGCGUGCCUGCAAUCCCAGCGACCUGGGAGGCUGAGAUAGAUCUCAA
rnacentral:sRNA from 1 species